UUUGGGUAUUGAGUAAUUACUCUAGCAAUAGCGUCUGUAACGCCCACGCUUCGUACGGGAAUCCAAACAAUCCACGAAAACACUGCGCAAAGCCUUGAGGGAUGAACCAAGUAAAAACUGCACCAAAGCCUGGGCUUUCAACUAGCAUUUGUGGAAAGCUUCACGGAUGAGAAAGAUUGAAUACCAUGCGAGAAGAGAAGAUUAAUCAAUUAGGGACUUUAAGUAUAAACGAGUUAUUUCAGGGUCUAUUAAACGCGUGCAGCAGACCGUGAAAAGGGAAUAGACUUUUGCCCUUUCGACUUUACAAACAUACAUAUUGACUGAACGCGUUUAUGCGUCUGAAUUGAAGAGAUUUAUUUUAGAAUGGCUCGAGAUCACUGCAGCUAUUCUUCUGUAAAACUUGCGGUUGUUUAAUAAUUUGGUAGUGGGCUUUUGGGAGUUCAUGGAUUAUUGCUAUUGUUUUUCACGGUGCAUUAAGCGCAUGGAAUUCCGGCGUAAAUGAGCACUAAAAGAUGAGCUAUGUAGUUACCCUAUUGGUGCGGUCUUGUUUCAUUAGACAGAUUAAGAACGCCAGGUGAUGUAAGGGGGCACGGAAUCACGCACUCCGCAGAUAUACACCCGUGGUAUCUAAAUCUCUUGGUUUAAUGUUAAGGUAUACUGGUCUAUUGGCUUCGCAGCGCGGCGAAGCAGAUGCGCUCUUGUUUAGGCAUCUUGAGGGUAUUAGUUUUGAUUAUGUACUUUAGUGAUUAGUGAAGGCAAUUAGAAAGUGACGGCCACUUCACACGCGUGAGAAAUAAGCCACCUUGAGCUAGUGAGACUCCAACUGCCAAACAGAGCUAUGGGGAAACCUCCAUGGGGUAUACACCACGGAGUGCGAGAUUCUACAGCUAAUAGCGAGGCAGCUGGGGUUGUUCUUAGGCACAGAUCGCACUUGACUAAGUCACUUAUCUUUGGUGAUAAAUCUGUUAUAAACUAGUAGGCUGAUUAUUACAAGGCGUCAAUAAGCAGCAUCUAUAAGCCCCUACUGCUGCAUGAACAAUGACGCGCGUCGCGCUGGUCUAGAGCACUGCCUUCUUGUAUGAUCCUGAUAACUCGAGCUCCAACAACUCGAAAUGUUAGAUGAUUUGAAUCGAUUUAGGAUCCCUGAAGACAAUUUUCGAACAUCUCUACUUGAAUAACUAAACUCCCCGCUAACUCCAACUGUUUUUCGUAGCGCUCCAGGCUUGGGAUUAACAGGGUUCCACCGCAAUAGCAAAGCAGAGAGUAGUUUAAUUACUUCCCCUGCAGCGCCAAGAAUCCCACACCCCUGCGAGUGAAGGGAAUAUGAUCAAGGAUCAAUAAUACGAUGCACGCACAGGCUACUGCGCGCACAGAUGAACCUCCACCUCACGCAAAUGAAAACAUUCGAUACUCGCAGCACCCGAGGGCGUCAAUAACGCGGGAUACUCUGCAUCAUAUACCGAGCAAUGUUCGCUACACCAGUGUGCAAGGCACCGGGGAGAGGCCGCUUUACUAAACAGUAUAAACUCGGACAUGGCUGUUAAACUAUCUAUAUAUGUUGGCUAUCAGAUAUUAGGAAAAUGGCGUUAAAUCGUACAGUAGACAAAAAGAGAUAGUCGCUUUAAAAUAGACGUCACGUAGUAGCAGUAGACAUCAGAUGUGUGUAUCUAAGAGAAGAAAGUUGUGCUGUGAACAGCCGGUUUGCUGGGCUUACAAAUUAUAACUAAGAAAAGUCAAAAGAUCUGCGCAACGUAAGCUGCGAUGUACGCUAAAAAGACAUGUAAAGCAAGCCAAAGUAAUCACUGUCUGUAGCCAACUCAAUCGCCAGACAAAUCGGCGAAUACAUGUUAGUUUAGGGCUCACUGGCCAUGGCGUUUACGACGAACGGAAAUUCCUUGGCUUUUAAAAACAGGGAGUUAUUUUAUAUUCAUCAUCUUCCAAAUAUUGCGUCUACAAUGCUUGUUGGAGGGCGUUGAGUGCGGAGAAUCGCAUGGAAGCAAGUACAGAUUACUUAUCAUGCGAAUACACAAACAGAUGGACUCUAAAAGGUACUCAAUAGCGACCAGUUUUAAAUAGUCGGAUCCCUUAGCAAACUGCAGGAGUAAAAGAAUGCUUUUACAUUGCAGUAUCCAGAAUAUAAUAGAAACACAACAACAAAAGAACCCCUGAUGCAGCGAGUACCGACGGCUAGGGAUAUUUGCAAAUUGGUUUAUCUAAAAAUCUUUUUGACACCGACGGAUUGUUUGUAGAAUGACCAUCGUGCGAUGGCAAGCUCGUCAUCACGGCAGACGUGAUCUAUAUCCCGCUCACCGUAAAUGUUGUGUUCUGUUCUACUCAAAGACGAAAUGCAUUCUCAUUGCAUAAAGAAAUGCAGAUUUGCAGAAGUUUCCUUGGUCUAUCAAUUCACAAAAACAAUCCAUUACACAUAUGGGCUUUGUUCUGCAACGCUGUAGGUUCACCGCUCGGGUUAGACAACAGAUCUUCCGGCGGUAUAAUAAAUAAGAAAUAUAA